GGGGUCGUAAAGGUUUCGACGGGGAUUUUGAAGCAUGUUAAGCGGGUAGAGAUGCAGUACCUCUUUAAACAACUGUACUUUUUAAAAUUAAACGCUAACGAAAACGUAGCACUCGCUGCCUAAGUUGCAGCGCAUCUCCCCGAGGACUACCGCGACUUCGGCUGAGGUGUCAAACAAGCGGUGAACGUGAACUGUAAAUUGUCGUUUAUAGCAGUCAUGUCUUAAAGCGAUACGAAUAGCGCAGCCUGUCUGCCGGCAACGCUGUUCGGAAACACAAUAGACAGAAUGCACCCGGAGAAAGAUGUGUGAAUAGAUUUUCGGACAGGGGUUCGACUCCCCUCGACUCCACCA
rnacentral:tmRNA from 1 species